AAGUUCAAGAAAUAUACCAAUACUGUUCUUCACUUACAUCUCAUAAUUAGCAAGACAAUGAGGACCGUUGGCACAUCUCUUUGCAUUGCUCUGGUGAUUAUGUCUUCAACACUCUCAUCCUGCUAUGAUUGUACGUUUAUAACAUCUCAUGGGCUUACAAUAAUUUUAUUCAUGCAUGGUUUUAAAAUCCAGCUGUGUUUCAUAUAUGCAUGCAGUUCCAGUCAUAGUUAUUCAUUUACCUGGAUGCACUUUUGCGCUUUGCCUCAACGAAUGCUCGAAGUUUGCCAGUAGGACUGGCCAAGUGUUACAGAGAUCCUACUGUGAGAAGAUGGGUGAUUGCUGCUGUGUGUUAGGUCACCAAUUAGCUGCUGCAGAGGAUGAUAAAGGAACUUUUGUUUGAACAGGAUUAAAAUUGAGACAGAUGAUGGAUGGGAUCCUUACAUAUGUAUCAAGGCAGGCAGUACCAUAUGCUCUUGCAUCAAACUUACAUGGCGAUGCCCUGUUUCCAUCUAACUGUAAUAAAAUAAUUGUGUGACUUUCCUAUACUAUUGUUCACCCGAUUCAUCCAUUAUUUUGGUUACAACUAAAUUAUUUCAGGCCAUACUGAGUUUUGUACUAUAACUGAACUUUUCAGGCCACCAAAUAGACGUGGUCAUUCCUCAGGUUUAGUCAAGUUAUGCAAAACCCGAGCGUGAAAUCCUUACUAUCAUGAAACCACCCAUGAAUCAAUCGGACUAUUGCACAUGAUGUUGCCUGACACCAGUGACCUUGUCGCAGUUUGCCUGAUAGAAGGGGCU
rnacentral:lncRNA from 1 species